rnacentral:rRNA from 1 species
UGCAAGUCGAACGGAUCCUUCGGGAUUAGUGGCGGACGGGUGAGUAACACGUGGGAACGUGCCCUUUGGUUCGGAACAACUCAGGGAAACUUGAGCUAAUACCGGAUGUGCCCUUCGGGGGAAAGAUUUAUCGCCAUUGGAGCGGCCCGCGUCUGAUUAGCUAGUUGGUGAGGUAAAGGCUCACCAAGGCGACGAUCAGUAGCUGGUCUGAGAGGAUGAUCAGCCACAUUGGGACUGAGACACGGCCCAAACUCCUACGGGAGGCAGCAGUGGGGAAUCUUGCGCAAUGGGCGAAAGCCUGACGCAGCCAUGCCGCGUGAAUGAUGAAGGUCUUAGGAUUGUAAAAUUCUUUCACCGGGGACGAUAAUGACGGUACCCGGAGAAGAAGCCCCGGCUAACUUCGUGCCAGCAGCCGCGGUAAUACGAAGGGGGCUAGCGUUGCUCGUAAUUACUGCCCGUAAAGGGAGCGUAGGCGGACUGUUUAGUCAGAGGUGAAAGCCCAGGGCUCAACCUUGGAAUUGCCUUUGAUACUGGCAGUCUUGAGUACGGAAGAGGUAUGUGGAACUCCGAGUGUAGAGGUGAAAUUCGUAGAUAUUCGGAAGAACAC